ACCUUAAGGAAGAGGACGUGGAGGAGGUGGUUGCGUUCAUGGCGGAACAUUUCUACCCGAGAGAGCCUGUGAGUACAGGACUCCACAUGACAUAUGAAGACAACAAAGAGUGGAUCCACGGGUCUGUAAGGGACUGGGUGAAGAGCGGAGUGUCUGUCGUGGGGAAGAGCCGAGCACAGGGAAGGUGGCAGGAACCCUUCUGGCCACAAUACUCACCCGAGGCCAGUCCAACACUUAUGAGCAGGCCCUCAAGAGCCCAAAGACUAAGGUGAAGACACUACACACGGUGCUCUCGGUGUUAGAGGCGGCGGUGGAUUUUUUCUCCCGCUACGAAAAAGUGGAUCGCAUACUUGAGCUGGCCAUGAUGACCGUCUCCGAGGAGUACAGCGGCCAGGGUGUGGGCAGAAGACUCGUUCAGGAGAGUGAACGCCAGGGAAGACGCCUCGGGUGUCAGCUCGCCACAGCACAGGCAACAGCAGUACCGUCCCAGCGACUCUUAUACCGCCUUGCUUACGAGUCACUCUACACAAUGGACUACGCUACCUUUGAGAUUGCUGGCGACCGUGUGUUUGACAUGGACAAGAUGUUAGGGACGCCAUCGGCUAAAGUUAUGGCUCGACUCAUGAGCGAGGAUCUUCAGGAACAAUAAACUGUUACACACAACAUA